ensembl:lncRNA
AUGACAUGAGGGAGAGAGUAAAUGAUUUUCAUUUUUGAUCUGUUCCUCUCUUAUGAUCUUUUUGUCCGUCUUACUGUCUGUGUCGUGCUGUAGCAGUAAUGGAGGGAUAAUUGCAACUUGCCUUGGUUUCACUCUUGAGUGUCAGGAAGGCACACACACACACACACACACACACACACACACACACACACACACACACACACACACACACACACACACACACACACACACGGUCUCCCCUCCUCACACCUGAUCACAGAUAAUCACUCUUGAAAGGUGCCAUUUUUAUCUGCUGCUACAGCUGCAAUUCAGGCUGAGAAAGAAGCAGCGUAAAUAGCUUUGCUGUCUGUCUGUGUUUCUGUCUGUCUGUCUGUUUCUGUCUGUCUGUUUCUGUCUGUCUGUGUUUCUGUCUGUCUGUGUUUCUGUCUGUCUGUCUGUUUCUGUCUGUCUGUGUUUGUUUCUGUCUGUCUGUCUGUUUCUGUCUGUCUGUUUCUGUCUGUCUGUGUUUCUGUCUGUCUGUGUUUCUGUCUGUCUGUCUGUUUCUGUCUGUCUGUGUUUGUUUGUUUCUGUCUGUCUGUCUGUUUCUGUCUGUCUGUUUCUGUCUGUCUGUCUGUUUCUGUCUGUCUGUGUUUGUUUCUGUCUGUGUUUCUGUCUGUCUGUGUUUCUGUCUGUCUGUCUGUUUCUGUCUGUCUGUCUGUCUGUCUGUCUGUCUGUCUGUCUGUCUGUUUCUGUCUGUCUGUUUCUGUCUGUCUGUCUGUCUGUCUGUCUGUCUGUCUUUCUGUUUCUGUCUGUCUGUCUGUUUCUGUCUGUCUGUCUGUCUGUGUGGUGAGAACAGCUCUUAGCUUUGUUAACAGCUGUGACUCGCCGUCCUCUCAUCACAAACACACUUUAAUCCUGUUCUCUGUGAAAUAUUUGACCUGUUAUGAUUUCUGAUUAAUUACAUUUGUAUUCAGCUUUAGUCUUAUUUGAAUGGGAGUUUUCUGACUGAGGCGGAUUAGAUAUUGUUUUAUAUAAUGACCUGAAUCUCUGAACAGUGUCAGAGAGGAAGACAAACCUCUAGAGUCAGUGUUUGAUCGCUAGUAAAGGGCUUCUGGUUAAUUGUAGGUAAAUGCCAGACAGCUUAAACAAACAUGAUGAGCUCUGGUGUGUCCGUCCAUGAGGAUGAUCAUAAAAACAGCAUGAAGUGUGUGUGUGUGUGUGUGUGUGUGUGUGUGUGUGUGUGUGUGUGUGGCACAUCAGAAUCAGCGUCUGCUUCAGAUUUCACCCCUGAAGAGAGACUUUGGUCGAAUUCUGCAGCACAGCUGAAAUAAACUGCUCAGCGUGCCACCA